rnacentral:sRNA from 1 species
GUCAGGCACGGUGGCACACGCCUGUAAUCCCAGUAGCUUAGGAGGCUGAGACAGGAGGAUUGCAAGUUCAAAGCCAGCCUCAGCAAUGGUGAGUUGCUAAGCAACUCAGUGAGACCCUGUCUCUA